GUCCCUGUAGCGCAAUGGAUAGCGUGUUGGACUUCUAAUCCAAAGGUCGUUGGUUCGAAUCCCCCCCGGGAUG
rnacentral:tRNA from 1 species